GGGGAAGUGUUAGUGCUGGGCACUUACGUAGAAGCGGUGAGAUAAAAGCUAUAAAGGCUCACAACGGGUAGCAAACAAAGGUUCGAAUCCUUUCUUCUCCA
rnacentral:tRNA from 1 species